GGGGGCGAACUGGAUUCGACGGAGAUAGUGAUGCAGAGGCAGCAUGUCGAGGUUCCACCCACCUCGUUAAAAAGGUGGAAAAAAAUAAGUGCAGAAACACUGCCUUUAGCUGCCUAAGAGUAGGCAUGCCGUUUCUCUAGCGUUUUCCUGUGGUGCUUGAGAGGCGUCGUCAAGCAGGAUAGCGAACCAGGUUUGUCUUGAGCCUGGAAAGCGAAAUAAUAUCGGGGCUGGUUCGGUUGUGUUCUUCCUCUUCAAACACUUCUGAACGAGAAAGCUGAAGAGGAUAAGCGUGUAGACGCCUCUUGUUGAAUGUCUUCGGACGCGGGUUCGAUUCCCGCCGCCUCCAAAU
rnacentral:tmRNA from 1 species